CUUUUGGCAUAGUGGGCCCCCAGUGGGGGGCCGCACGACGGGCUAUUAGCUCAGUGGUAGAGCGCGCCCCUGAUAA
rnacentral:tRNA from 1 species